rfam:Astyanax mexicanus chromosome 8, whole genome shotgun sequence.
CUUGGCUACGGAGAUAUGUAUCCUAAGACAACAUCAGGCAUGUUGGUGGGCGCACUUUGUGCUCUGGCUGGUGUGCUGACCAUCGCCAUGCCAGUGCCUGUCAUUGUCAACAAU